rnacentral:rRNA from 1 species
GACGAACGCUGGCGGCAGGCUUAACACAUGCAAGUCGAACGGAUACUUCGGGAUUAGUGGCUGCGGCGUGAGUACCGCGUGGGUUCGUACCCUUUGCUUCGGUAUCACUUAGGGAACCUUGCGCUUACAACGUAAGUGCCUUACGGGGCAAAGAUUUAUCGGUAAAGGAUUGGCCCGCGUGCGAUUAGCUAGAUGGUGGGGUAAUGGCCUACCAAAGCGACGAUCCUUAGCUGGUCUGAGAGGGUGAUCAGCCACACUGGGACUGAGACACGGCCCAGACUCCUACGGGAGGCAGCAGUGGGGAAUAUUGGACAAUGGGCGCAAGCCUGAUCCAGCCACGCCGCGUGAGUGAUGAAGGAAUUAGGAUUGUAAAGCUCUGUCACCGGUGAAGAUAAUGACGGUAGCCGAAGAAAAAGCCCCGGCUAACUACGUG